rnacentral:rRNA from 1 species
UACGUAGGGGGCAAGCGUUGUCCGGAUUUAUUGGGCGUAAAGAGCGUGUAGGCGGCCUGAAAGGUCAGCUGUGAAAACUCGAGGCUUAACCUCGAGACGUCGGUUGAAACCAUCUGGCUAGAGUCCGGAAGAGGAGUGUGGAAUUCCCGGUGUAGCGGUGAAAUGCGCAGAUAUCGGGGAAGAACACCCGUGGCGAAGGCGGCACUCUGGGACGGUACUGACGCUGAGACGCG